UUUUUACUAUUGGAUCCGGGAAGAUCAUGGCCUUGAGGACUCUAGAUAGUCUUGGGAUGCUAGAUUUUAGAGGACCCUUUAGAGGAUUAAACAGGGGUCCUAGAUCAUCUUAUAUCUUUGACAAAUUUUAAUAAUGACUUGGUUCUGUAGGGGAACAAUCUAUUGGACGAGAGGACGCUGAGCAGAGUCCUGAGCAUUCCGGUUCAUAGAUCACCGUGAGGGCGGGUGAUUACUUGUCGGAGUUUUCAAUAAAGGAGAUGCAGGAUGCAUACAUGGAUGGGUUGGGCGCAGAGUGCAAGUACCAGAGUCAUUAGUUAGUUAGUUGUUUAUUCUUCUUGAUGUCGAUGAAUAUUUGAAGAGCUCGUAAUUGAACUAAUUUGUCUAUUUGGACAUGUCGGAUUUGUCUAUUUGAAUUAUCAAUUUCUUGUGGA